rnacentral:rRNA from 1 species
UACGUAGGGUGCGAGCGUUAAUCGGAAUUACUGGGCGUAAAGCGUGCGCAGGCGGUUCGUUGUGUCGGCGGUGAAAGCCCCGGGCUUAACCUGGGAAUGGCCGUUGAAACUGGCGAACUGGAGUGUGGCAGAGGGGGGUGGAAUUCCGCGUGUAGCAGUGAAAUGCGUAGAUAUCAGGAGGAAUACCGAUGGCGAAGGCAGGUCUCUGGGCUGACACUGACGCUCAUGCACGAAAGCGUGGGGAGCAAACAGG